rnacentral:rRNA from 1 species
UACGGGGGGGAGCAAGCGUUGUUCGGAUUUACUGGGCGUAAAGGGCGCGUAGGCGGUCGUGACAAGUCACUUGUGAAAUCUCCGGGCUUAACUCGGAACGGUCAAGUGAUACUGUCGGACUAGAGUACAGAAGGGGCAACUGGAAUUCUCGGUGUAGCGGUGAAAUGCGUAGAUAUCGAGAGGAACACCUGCGGCGAAGGCGGGUUGCUGGGCUGAUACUGACGCUGAGAAGCGAAAGCGUGGGGAGCAAACAGG